CGGCGCUGGGGAGACGUCACGCCUUUAACAGUCUGCGGGCUCGUGGCGUCACCCGAGCAGAAGCGCCGCGCAAAGAGCGGGAGGAGACGUCGGUACCCUUCUGAGCGUACAGCUCAUCUAUCAGCCAGAGGGCAGAAGGCGUGUGUCAGCAAGAAAUGCAGAAAAACAGUCCAGAGGAAGAGGUGCACAGGAGGAGAGGCGAGGACAGUCAGAAGGCAGCGGCCAAAGCAGCAGAGGGAAACAAAAGAAGAGAAAAGACGUAUGAUUGAGCUGCAAACGCCCCUGCCACACUUUUCCCCUCUUCACCGAGAUGCUCCAGACUUGGCUUCAUAAACUGUCAUGUUUAGACCGGGGACACCCAAGCUCCUUCCUGCGUCACCUUACACCUCAGCAAGCUCGCCUUCUCGUGCAGCACAAGAGCUGAACGUGCAAGAGAACAGGCAGCCUUCCGUACCCAUGCAGACUAGCCAGAAACAACUGUUUAAUCAAAUCCAGAGUUUUAACCAUUUUCUUUAUUAAGAGGGCAAAACCCACAAGAGCAAGAUCAGGAAAUCCAGAGCAGCCAGGGGCGUACUGGGGUGGGACACAGAGAUUUGUGUCCUGGUUUUAUAAUUACCGGAUUACGGACUUGGGUUUGGGCUGAACUGAUUCAGCGUUCUCAGCAAAUCUCCGUUAAGCAGGCAGUCAGCUAAACCCUUUCACUGUCUUUGUAUUCCUGGAUUAUUUCUGUGGGUUUUUAUUUACAAGUUUUGACUUUGCCCCUAUCCCUUAGUUUAUGGCAAGAACCAACCUUUUCAGAUUGAGCUUCCAGCGAUUUCAGGUUGUUAGUGACGUUCUUUAACUCCUCUUCAAGGUCACUACAUUUACUACGGGGGGGGGAAAUUUAAAAGUUACUAUUGUCCCUUUUAUGACUUAGUUUAAUUUUUGAGAAGUCAAAAAAUACAAGGGAUUAAAUAAUUAUGAAGUCUGAAAAGAGAAAAUUGGGAAUACGGGGUACAAAAAAGCCUGCCUGCCAGCAGGAGAAUUUCCUAAUGAAGCAGAGCCUUGAGCUUUACGGUUUUCUAAACUUCCGCGCAUCUCAAGUUACUCACACUUCGGACACCUCUGCACGCUCUUCAGCUCUUUCCAGCUCACCCUCCAAAAUAACCAGUUUACGGGCAACCUGUGAAGAGGGAAUGGUGGCAUCAAGGCAGUCUGUAAUUUCUUACACGUGUCUCACAGCACUACACUUGUGCUUUCCUUCCUUCUGAAUAAUGGAAUCAAGUUAAAACACACAUGCGCAGACCUGACACUUUUUUCCCAAAUAAAUUACAUUUUGCAGUGUUCUCAGCAUUAAAUAUUGAAGGUGCUGCUGAAGUCACUAUUCAAACUACUUUUUGGGAACAUUCCGAAGUCGAGCCAUGACACAGUGAAGAGCGUACACAGAACAACUGAACUGGAGAGUAGCAAAGCUGCUCACAGUCCUCCCGUAACGUUUAGUCGUUUCCUUAUCCCUUUUACCUCCUCGUAUUUGCGGUCAGCUUCUUCAGCAAUGUGCUUCGCCUCCUUCAGCUGCAUUUCCUGAAUUUCCAUUUUCUCUUCAUCUUUCAUUGCUCUGUUCUCAAUAACCUUCAUUCCUCUGCAGAAGGCAAAGCAAGCGUGUUUAAUGUAGAAACAUUUUAGCACUUUUAUCUCAAAGGUCCUAAAGGGGAAUUCAGUAUUUGUAACCCAAGUGUCCCAUCCUGACCAUACCCUCCUGUUCUUCAAGGGUAACAGAAUUACUCAUUCAAGGUAAUAAAACCAUUCUGAGUCUCUGACCUGCAGCACACAUUGGCACGUGCAGAUACUGAACAAUACAGGAAUAUUUUAUUGAUGUAUAUUACAUUUUUUACCAAGAAAAAGAAGAGGAGACACACCUCUCACUCUCAUCCGCUGCUUUCUCAGCCUCCUCCAGUUUCUGCAAGGCUGUGGCCAGCCGCUCCUGGGCACGAUCCAACUCCUCUUCCACGAGCUGGAUACGUCUGUUCAGAGCUGCCACCUCACCUUCAGCCUGUGUGAAACACAACCACCCAAAACCCCAGUCACACACACGCCGGGUGCUGGCUGAAAAACGUUCUCAACUAAUCAGUCUCCUUAAAACCGCCACGGCUUCUCCUCAGUAACUGCAGGGAAGCUCUAGGAACCUUUCUGUCUCUGCUUUUUGUUUGGUUGAGCCAUGGCAUCUCAGGAAUUUCAAGGUAUGGAGUACGUGCUUCUCUUUUUUUAAUGGCGCUUAUCCUGCCACACAGGGAAGGAUUAGACACCAAUUGCCAACAGAGAACUAUCUGCACAUCCCUUCAGAGGGCAGGAUCUACCCAGAGGAUUCAAAAGCUAAAACCCAAACUGUUUCCAUAGUGGCUUGUUCCAAAGUUGAUUUUGAUGUUCCUGGUUUCAUCACACAUAGCAAUAUCCUGUCACAGCACGCUGCUGCCGUUAAAGCAUUAUCCAUUACGGGCUCCUUUGCCUGCAAACGCUAUUCAAUCUUUACGCGGUCAGCUGGGCAGGCACAGUUGGCCUCAGCAUGGGAGAGUCAGUCGUCUUUGUAACGUAAAGAGGGCAAAAUUAGAUAUGUUCUUAAAAUAGGUUCACUUCCCUUUUUCAUUGCUUCCUGUGGUACUUAAGGAAUUAGGCAGAAAGCAUUUCUUAAUAAUAACGUCUGUUUAUGUAUUAUUGAAUAAACUGCACAGUAAUUGGAAGCACUAUUAAUGUUUAAAAAACAGACUAGAUAAUAAAUGGAGAGGUUGUUGGGAGAAAAAACCACUUUCACAGGCUAUGGAUCCUGGCAGGGCAAGUGUUUUAUGCUUUAUGUUAAACACUUUGAAGAAAUAUUUGUUUUGCUGCAGCUUCUCAGAUCUGGUUACCAACUGCCCCUCCUGCUCUGGAGGAAGUGGUUUCCAUGCAUUGCUGUACCAUCUUGGAAAGGAUUUCAGCGACUCAUCCAAAUGGAAGCUGACCCAGGAUUCCUCUAGCCACAAAUUAUCCAGCGUUUCAUCUGUUUUCUACCCAGCGCUAUGUGUUUAACUUUCUCAAUUUACACACAAAGCAUCAGUCAUGUAGAAAACUGGCAUCUGUUGUGUGGCAGUCUGCAACUCCUUCCACUAGACAGGCCACUUUUAAGUCAUAUUUUAGUUAAGCAAAAUUCCAAAGCUCUGGAGACGGGGCCACUGGGAAGCUGGAGUUAGUCUGGCUCCACCUCUCCCAGAAGCAGCCUGCAGUCCUUAUACGGUAAAACUAACUUGCUGACGUGAUAAAAUAGCAGGAAGAUGCCGGGAAGGCUGAUCACACACAAAUGUAAGUGAAACCAGCUGUCCGGCCCCGGGAGUGCCGCACACUAGUGGAGAGUUCUCAUUUCUCUGUGAAAACCAGGAGGGAAAGUUAUUUUCCAGCAGUUCGGUCAUUUCCCAGCUGUGCUGGAGCCAGCGGUGCGGCGCCGAGAAGCGGGAACUCCCCGCUCGUUGUCAUGCAGCGCUUUUUCCUAAUUAAACAGCCACUUCCUACUAAACUCGUAACCCCUUCCCGACGCUGACCGGUGCUGGCAGGGCCCCUUCCGAAGGGGACGGCCCCGAAGCGCGAUAAGCAGCGGGCGCCUGGGACGAGCUGCCGCCGCGCCCGGCGACUCCGCAGGACGGUGCGGGCGAGGCGCUGCGGCAGCGCCGGCGGCUCCCGCAGAGAGUUUGCGGAGCGGAGCAGCGAGGGGGGGGCAGCUGAGGGAUGAAGGCAGCCGGCGGCCGAGCCGUCCUCCCGGAGCAGGGGAAGAGCCAGGCGCGCCCCAGCGAGAGAGAGCCAGAGAGAGGAAGGAAGGAGCAGGGCAGCCCGGGAGAGAGCGACCGAGAGAGGCGAGCAGGCAGCCCGGGCGGUCUCACUUUCUCCCGCAGGUCCCGUUCUAGGUCCAGCUCCCGCUGGAGGACCUGGGCGCGAUCCUCCGCCUCAUCCGCCUGUUGCUGCAGGCACUGGAUCUUCCUCUUCACCGCUUCCAGGGAGCUCGGCGCGGCCAUGGGUGCGGCGCUGGCGGCGGGCAGGGCGCGGAGGUGCUGCACGUGGCGGCGCGCGGCCCCGCGCCUUUCAAUGGGCCGGUGACGUCACGCGGCUGGAGGUGGAGGUGGUGGUGGUGACGUAGCAGCGAGGAGUCGGCGCAACCAGCGCCGGGACGGUCGCGUCCCGGGGCCGCCCCGCCCGUUUUCCCCCGGCAUCCCGCGGCGGGCUCCGCCGCAGCCCCCCGCCCGCGCCGCGACCCGGUGGUCCGGUGCCGCCGGGCUCCCCGCGUCACACUGAGUACCCCGAACGGGGGGGUUCAGCCAACGCCGCCGGUCCUGCGCUCCCUGUUCGUUACUGCUGUGUCUGGGCCCGCGCAGGCGAGGGAGAAGCUAAACCGGGCCGUUCUGACGGCAAAACGAGUGCGGCUGGGCAGCUGGGACUCGUUUUAAGGCCGCGGUGUGGCCAAAGCCAUCCUUACCCCACAGUAGAUCCCUGCUUCUGCCCCAGCUUUCCUGAAACAUCACCAUUCGGUUUACUUCAGUUAAAGGAGGUUUCACCUUUCCUGAAGAAUUCCCACCCACAAACGCUUCCCCCCCCGUUCGCAAACCCUCGACGGGUGCAGUGCUACCGACUGCCCUUGGGCUCCCAUUAAGCCCCGAGCGGUGCUCAGCGCAGAACAGCCCAAGCUCAUUUCAGCAGAGCGGGUGGGAGACUUUUGUACUUGACACGCAACAAGCGCCCUUCCUGUCCCCGAUCAAAGUACCGCAAUACAAAAAUUAUCAGCAAUUCUUUACCUCAGCGUACCACACACACGGCGAAACACAGAACACAGUCACAGGCAAAUGUUAGCUGUAGGUACGUACAUCAGUGGCCUUCUUCUCAGCCUGCUCUAGUUUUUCCUGGGCGUCUUUGAGAGCCUCCGAGUACUUAUCCAGCUCAUCUUCAGUUCCUUUCAGCUUCUUCUGCAGAGCUACCAGCUCAUCCUCUACCUUUCAAGAGAGAAAAACCCCAAAAUAAUGCCAAAGAGCACAGCCAAAGCCAUGAGAGACAGGGUGUGUGACAAGAGCUGAAGGGAAGCAGAUGGAAGAGAGCUUGGCCAUGGAAAUGCAGCCAGGCCACCAGUGUUUGAACAGGAAGAGCUGGUUUGGUUGCUGUCCUUCAAAUGACAGAUUUUAUCACAUGGGAAAAGAAGAAAAAAGCAAACCACCUGGAAACAGCCACAGGUGGGGACAAGACCAAGGACCAAAGCUGAAAAGCAUGCAAGCUCCCGUCUGCAGGACAGCCUGGGUGUAUUGCAAGAUGGAAACAUUUGCAACGUCACAUGCUGCACCAUGGAUGGAUUUUCUUCUUGCCAGGCGUGUUUAUCUUUGGGAUCCUGCUAUUGAUAGGGCAUCAUGGACAGGAUUACCAAAAGCACUGCCAUUCCCUGCUGCACUUGCCUCCAUCUCAGAGCCGCAGCCAGGCCUUCCCAGCCAGCUCCUUCUCCUGAGCUUCACGAGCAGAAGACAAGCCCAGGCAGGCCAUUUCCACCAGCUGCUGUGCUUCAGCAAGACAACUCAGGCUGAGACAUGUUUCAGCUGCUCUUCUGUGCUUCUCCUGUACCUCAGUCAUGGAUGCAUCAAGUGCUUCAUUUUACAGGGCCAUCAGCCUGGCAGCUUUCCUCAGCACUAAAUUUACUUUUUAAAGUUACAGCAGUGUUGCACCCAGAAGGAACGGAGGAACAGAUGCAGCCUGCGAAGUCUGGCUUUAAUUCACCUGCCUCAUUUAAUUUGCUGCCUUGCCUUCUAAUCAAUGAGUCUGCACUAGCAGCCCUGGGAAUACAGAGGUUUUUUCACAUACAGGAGAAUUCAAUGCAAUGGCUGUGCUAGCUGAGCUCUCAGGGGCUCAAGCAGGCUGUGUCACAUCUCCUUUGAGGCUGCUUCAUUAUGGAUGUCCCUCCCCCAGAAGCACUUGCACACACUCUCCAAUCCAAGGCAGCUGCACCACAUUUCCUUGCAAGGGGCCUGUUGGCGCCGGGCAGCUGUGCCACAUUAAGCCUCUCUUAGUCAGGCUGGCUGUGUGGCAUUCCCUCCUGGAAGUGCUCUCCUUCCAGGUGUUCCUGGUUUUCAGCCACAUGGCUUUCUUUUCAGGGCCACAUGCUGCUUUCCAGGGCUCUGUCCCCACGGUGGCUCUGCCGUGCUACCUCAGACGGGCUGCUGAGGCCAAGUGUACCUCAUUACCUCGCAGGGGCUCCCAGCAACGUCGCAGGACCAGCAGUGCUUCGCAGGGUCUCCUUUCUCAGGGCAGCUGUGCCGAUGCUCCCUCGCAGGGCCGUCGUGCCAUAUUGCCCCUGUGGUGCGUCACUUCCCAGGCCUCCCUUCACUGAGGACAGUAGCACCACGUCACCUCAGAGGUGCUUUCAGGACUAUGUCGCCUCAGACCCUCGGGGCUGUCAGGAAGCCCCGAUGAAUGCCGCUUUGACUUUGGUUGAGCAGACUCCCACUGCUGGUUUUUUGAGCUCAUGUUAAUUCCGGGCAGUGCUGCCCAGCUGCUUAAUCAGCCAGUGUCAAAACCUUGGGAGACAGGAAGGCUGUCUUUGGCUGGUAGCACCUAUUUUGUGAUGGUGCUGCUUUACCUCAUGUAUUUUAAUCUGUAUCAGAUUGCUCUUUGCCUACUAAAAUGGACAAUUAGGAUCCAGUUGUAAUGCAAAUUGCAUGGUGGAAUAAAAACCGUGGGGAACAAAAUCACAAAUAAGUAUUUAUGUCAGCCUUUGUUACCACGUGAUGGGUCCCGCUCGGUUAUUGCUCACUGUGAAGCAUCAGACAGAAGAGAACCUGGUGUGCCUUUGUGUUUUAUAGGCAUGAGAUGCUCUGUGUAAGACUGCCUUUAGGCACUUGCGGGCCCCGAUAAUGUGUAUGUGUGCAAACCUAACAGACAGAUUGCCACCUACACUGGAAAUUUGAUGAUUGCCUUGUUUUUUCAAGGCUCUGUUUUAUAUACUGCAGGCCAAACCCAUGGGUAAUUUCCAGUCUUUCUGCACAGGGCUGAGAUGACGUGGUGAGAGAAGCAUAGAGAUGCUGAAAUUUCAAUCUGCCGCAUAAUGUGCUCCUAAUACUGAUAGCCGCCUAAGUGUGGUGGUGUCAUCGGUGUCAUUGCUGCUGUUCUUGUAAUUGUUGUCUUCCCACGUUUGGUGCUAAAUGUUGUAAAUUAAGAGAAAUAUUUAAAUUUGUAAAGGAACCUAAAGUUACUGUGGAAUUAAACAUGCAGGAGUCCUGCAUGCGCCAAUGGAAGAGGUAUGUCUUCCUUUGAAACGGCAAGCCAUAACAAAGCGAUGCGCUGCUCGUGUAACUGCUUUACUGCAUAUCAGCUUUGCAUUUCCUCAGGCCCUGGGUAACAAAGGAUCAAGCUGCAUGUUUUCAUAGCAAAACUCAUCUUUCAGAACCGAGGUGGAAUAUCCAGGCUUAUAAAGCGUUAUAGUGGCAGGAGGCAAGGGUUUUAAGGGUUAGCUGAGCUUGUACAGUACCUGUAAGAUCCAGAGAGAGCAAUACCUGUUCACAUCCCAUUGAAAUGGUGGCUUCUAGAGGACAGCAAGGAACAAGAGUGAGAGGUUGUGAAGCCAGAUGGAUGAGUUCAAAGUCCUCCUAGAAGCUAUGGCAACAUACCUUGUAUAUCUACUCAGAACAGCCUUUGCAGCUACCAUAAAUGACUCUAAAUGGCCUUAUUUUCCCUGAGAGCAGUGAAAUAAGCCAUUUCAAGGGGGAGGAGUAAAUCCAUUUGAUUGCACAUGUUGCUGGGAAUAACCCUCUUAUUAGUUAUUAGUAAUAACCCAAUCUAUCGCUAGCAGCGUGGCCACCAAAACAGACAGCCUUAUCUGCCAGAGAAUCAUUGUAUUGCUCCUAAUGUUCCCAGUUUGAACUGAAUGAGGGGAGUUGGAAGGGCCUCAAGGGAGGAAGCACUGUAGGAAGCAAAAAGCAACAUGAAGAACUUGGGUUAUAAACAGCACGUGUGACAAAUGAAAUAUAUUAAGGCCAAUAUAACUUUUGAGGAAGUCUUCUGCCAGGCAAGGCUGAGCUCUUUCUAUUCCUGACUUUAUUCUAAGCCAGCGUGUGGUAUUGGUGUGUUAGGUCAUGAGACGGUGGUGGUGUGGGCUUGUUAUCUCACCUUCUGAAGGAAAGAGGGGCUUCUAUACCUCAGGUGUGCGAAGCAGCAGCUGUCAAGCUCAGGGCUCCAGUCCAGGAUUUAGACAGUAUUUCUGCAUUGAAAUCAAUGGCAAAGAACCUGAUCACUUCACUGUGGCAGGGGUGUUCUCACACAGCAAUGCCCUGGGAAAUUCUCACUUAGAAUAGAUCAGAUUCUGCUCUCAGUUAUGCAAUUAUAAAUCCAAUGUAGGUCCAUUUGAAACAACUGUUUUCGUCCACUGCAAGCGUCUGGCCCAGGCUGGUUUUGUACACAAUGGAAACUGAAUUAUGGUAAACAGGAAACAAAUCUAAUGUAAAUCUAAAUGGAAAUAUGCUCUCUGUUACAUCAGAAUAAAUUGGAAGCAAGUCUAUUGAGGCUAAUGGAAUUCAUCUGGAUUUACACCAGACUGUGGCUCAGCAUUUGUCAGCUGGCUGCACACCAGCACCAAAACGCAAACCAUGCUACCUCAUCUGAAUAGCUUUGAACAAUUUCUUCCUUUUCCUUUACAUUUAAGCAAUUGCCUCUGCAUCCUGAUAGCUGAUUAGCCUUUUCAAACAAAUAAAUCCCUGCAAACAGACACCAACAAAUGAGCCCUGCUCUCGCUAGCAUUUUCAGAAUAUAAAUGAUGAGUCUGAAGCAAUGAGCUUGGUUUUGGAGUCACUUAAACUCACUCCUGUUCCUCAGUGUUUACAACGUAGAGCAGUAGGAUUGAGCUCACAGGAGGACAGACCUCUGCAACAACUAUUUGGCUUUCCCCAAAGUACGCCAAAUUCAUUGCCUUCCCACCAGCAGUGGGCAGGGCUGGCUAUUUCCUAGGCUGCACAGGAGACCUUUCAGUAGAUAAGCAAAAUUAUCAUACUUCCACUCUUGCUGCUUUCAGUCCAAUGGUCAGAAAGGAGCCAUAACCCUCCCAGUGCAUCUAAUAGGAAAUUGCUUCGUGCUCUGUUCCACAGGCAAGUUAGCACUCCUCUCCGUGCCACUGCGCAGCUGGCCACGGGAGCCCAUUGCUUGUGGGGCACUCUGCACAGGGAAACUGAGAGGACUAAUUAAUGUCUGAGCAGCAAACUAGGCUCCCUGGGUGAAAGUCACUGGCAAAGUGCAAUGUCUGAGCAAGAGCACAGCCACGUCAGCCCCUUCCCUUGAAUCUCAGUUACCCCAGCUUCUUACAUAAUUCAGUUUUUAAUGUGUUCAUGUUUCUCUUUGGAUAAUUAGUAAAAUGUAUCUUAAUUAAAACAAGAGGAGGAGAAGACGACACACAAACAAACAAAAGCCCUAAGUCAAUGGGAUUCAGGGAGGGGCAAAGCAAUUAUUCAAAUAGAAACCUUGUUGGUAACCAGGCAAAUAUGGUAAUAACAGUCA